rnacentral:rRNA from 1 species
CCUACGGGAGGCAGCAGUGAGGAAUAUUGGUCAAUGGGCGCGAGCCUGAACCAGCCAAGUCGCGUGAGGGAAGACGGUCCUAUGGAUUGUAAACCUCUUUUGUCGGGGAGCAAAAGACGCCACGCGUGGCGUUCCGAGAGUACCCGACGAACAAGCAUCGGCUAACUCCGUGCCAGCAGCCGCGGUAAUACGGAGGAUGCGAGCGUUAUCCGGAUUUAUUGGGUUUAAAGGGAGCGCAGGCGGAAGAGCAAGUCAGCGGUAAAAUUGAGAGGCUCAACCUCGUCGAGCCGUUGAAACUGGUUGUCUUGAGUGAGUGAGAGGUAUGCGGAAUGCGUGGUGUAGCGGUGAAAUGCAUAGAGAUCACGCAGAACUCCGAUUGCGAAGGCAGCAUACCGGCGCUCAACUGACGCUCAUGCACGAAAGUGUGGGUAUCGAACAGGAUUAGAUACCCUAGUAGUC